rnacentral:rRNA from 1 species
AUUGAACGCUGGCGGCAGGCCUAACACAUGCAAGUCGAGCGGAUGAAGAGGGCUUGCUCUCUGAUUUAGCGGCGGACGGGUGAGUAAUGCCUAGGAAUCUGCCUGGUAGUGGGGGAUAACGUUCCGAAAGGAACGCUAAUACCGCAUACGUCCUACGGGAGAAAGCAGGGGGCCUUCGGGCCUUGCGCUAUCAGAUGAGCCUAGGUCGGAUUAGCUAGUUGGUGAGGUAAUGGCUCACCAAGGCUACGAUCCGUAACUGGUCUGAGAGGAUGAUCAGUCACACUGGAACUGAGACACGGUCCAGACUCCUACGGGAGGCAGCAGUGGGGAAUAUUGGACAAUGGGCGAAAGCCUGAUCCAGCCAUGCCGCGUGUGUGAAGAAGGUCUUCGGAUUGUAAAGCACUUUAAGUUGGGAGGAAGGGCAGUAAGUUAAUACCUUGCUGUUUUGACGUUACCGACAGAAUAAGCACCGGCUAACUUCGUGCCAGCCGCCGCCGUAAAAC